rnacentral:rRNA from 1 species
CCCUUAGAUGUUCUGGGCCGCACGCGCGCUACACUGACAUGUUCAACGAGUUUACAACCUUGGCUGAGAAGCCUGGGUAAUCUUUUAAAAGCAUGUCGUGAUGGGGAUAGAUUAUUGCAAUUAUUAAUCUUGAACGAGGAAUUCCUAGUAAACGCAAGUCAUCAGCUUGCAUUGAUUACGUCCCUGCCCUUUGUACACACCGCCCGUCGCACCUACCGAUUGAAUGGUCCGGUGAAAUCUUUGGACCGUGACAAUGUCUUGCUUUCGGCAAGACUUUGUUGUGGGAAGUAGAUUAAACCUUACCAUUUAGAGGAAGGUGAAGUCGUAACA